CAAUUCAAGCCAUCCUCCACAGAAAUUCGCAUUGAAGCAGUGCCUCAGCAUGUCCUGAUAUUACAAAAUAUGAGUAACUACUGACAAGUCCUAAAGCUGAUGUGCGAAGUAUGCAAUAUUCCUAUAUUUAGUUCCCAAGUAGCUGUCAUUUUCGCAAUGCCAGUCUGCCUCCACUACACGCUUUUGCUUUCCUUCAUAUGGGAUCUGUUACUCUGCAAUCAUUCAUGCAGAGGUUAUUUUAUCAUGCACACCGAAUUAAUAACCCGAUGAAGCAUUUACAGACAGGACUACAGAUAGUGAUACCUCGUAUUUUGUUUUGGAUAACCAAGUCUGUCCAUAGACAGAAACAGACUUUCGAUCUAGCUUGUUGCCUCCAGCUGCUUAUCACUUUUUACUGUCUGGAAGAUAAGGCCCCAAAGCAGGAGGCAGAAGAAGCACACUCUAAAACUGAAGAAAAUCAGCUGAAGAGAGAAAAUUACUUUUACCAGGAGAUUCAGCUAAACUGUGCAACAGCACUGAUCAGGGAUGUUCACAAGUCAGAACAGGAAAACUGGUUUUGGUAAGGUUUGUUUCACUUGGGUGAGGAGUGUGAUGGUGAGGGUGUUAUAAGCUAAUUACUAACCUGUUAAGAACAAAAUAUGUAUUAUUAGAUGAAUAAGGCAUCCUCAAAAGUGCAUUUUAUUAAUUUUAUUUGACUUUAUUAGUCAAAAAUAAUAAUUAUUUACUUUGCAAGUCACAAAAUCCAACCAGUGCUUUUUCAAUCAUCAGUUUUAUCUGUCAGCUAAAAGGAUGAGCAUGCCAGAACUAUAUUUUAAUGGAAUUUCUACCUGUACUUUCAGUGGAAGCUGAAAAAAUAAUAGCCUAUUUGCAGAAAAAAAGGACUCUGAUUUACAUCUUUCUUUAGGACAGUUUCACAUUACUCAGUAUUCAAGACUGAGUUCCUAAACCCUUCAAAGCAAAAAUGCAAAAUCAUCCUGAGUUGGUAAAUAUAUGAUUUCUUAAACACAAAGAGUAGUUCUGUAAUAAUUUAAUUAUGUUAAAAGAGCAAUUUAUUACCAUGCAACCCCUUUAGCUUCAUUUGUAUUUUUUUUAAGAAAUGUCAUACAGUCUGUAAAACAAAAUUAUUUAUGUUUUGAGAUUCCAUAAUGCUUUUUCUCACUGAUAAUUUCUUUUAUAAACUACCAUAUGAGACUAUAUUUUACCAGAAAUAUUUUUUAAGAUACAGUUUGAGAGCAUUUGGCCAUUCAUUCUGUUCUGUCUGAUUAGACACUCUGAAAAUUAUUAAAUUAAUAUCUUCCAUGAGUGUUAAACGCAAACAAUAGCUCAGAAAAUAUUUCAUUUUCUCUUCCGUUCAUCUUCCUGAAUAUAGAAAAGUAGAUUGUGAUAAAGUUUUGUACCUUUACAGACUUCAUGCACAAGACUGAAUUUCACCUAGAAGGGUGAAAGGAUUUGAAAGUUAAUUUUGCUGACAUGUUUACCUCAUAAAUAUCAGGAAAAUAAUAUGGCAAAUGCCAGUCAGUGACUCCACCUCAGACCAGACACAUUCUUCUACUCCCAAAUAAUUUCCUCCUUUAUUAUGAUUAGGAAAUCACUAACAGGAAGGAAAAGAAAAGAAAAAGCUUUUGUAAUAAGUACUUGGAAACAAAAACGGAAAUAAUCUGGUCUGCAUCAUUAGGUUUUGCAGAGGUUUGCAGAAACCCUGUGAAAAUAGAAAGGUGUGUGCUGUGUUCUUUAAGGCCUAAGGCAAAACGAAAAAGAUUACAAAAUGCAGUAAUUAUCACUGGUUCUUUUUAUUAUCUCUACAACAUAGGAAAAUACAUAUUUCUUUCCUACUCUUGAAAUAAUUAACAUAAACCAGAAAAAAAAAAAAGCUACAAUUAUGCAUAAAUAAAGUCUCUUACCGUGAUUAAAGAAUUAUGUAAAAAUUCUUAUAUUGAAAAAAGCAAAUGAUUGUACACAAGAAGUUUUGACUGAGGGGAAGCAGAAUUAGAAUUGAUGAUAUUAAUAAAUGUAUUAAUUUAUUAACCAUAAACCAACCCAACCCAACCCAAACCAAACCAGAAGCAGUAAUUCUAAUUAUCUAUUUUGGUAGAUAGGACUGAUGCUGCAUGGAUAAAAACCUCUGUAAGUAAGUUCAGCAGAUAAAUGUAAAACUUACUGUCAUUUCACAUAUGGGGUAUACAAAUUAUCAGAUUUUUCCCAUAUGUAGGUCAAAUAGAAAAAAAUUCAAGAUACAUCUAAAACAAUAACUAGCUGCACAACUGUGAACAAGACAUGCAAGAAAAUCUAUAUUCCUAAAAAAUUCCUUCAAAAUGCCAGUGUAGUAUUUCCACACGGCAGUUAUCUAGCGACUUUGCAUUCAAUUUAGCAACCCUGCAAAAACCAUCCUGUGGAAUGCAGGUGAAAUUUGAACACAAAGUUUUACUUGAAGUUUUUGCUGCAUGCAUUAGUAACAAACUGUGCCAGUAAGCUCAAGCUACAGGAAAUUGGAUCCUCCAUUACUUAAUACUGGUUUUAAUUUUCAAUAUAAUUUCAUUGCUGAAUUACUCCACUCAAUAAACUAUUCAUGAAAAAAAAAACCAAACAAACCACAAAAACAAAACAAAAAAACACCAAAACAGGCUGCAGGCUCCAGAAAGCCAUAUUUGGUUCUUGACAGUAAUUAUUUUUAACUACUGUUGUUAAGACUGUUGACUUUUGUUAAGAACAAAAAACCAAAACUUGUAGUUUUGGCUCCUAUGAAGAGAGCACAGAUUGUUUCAUAAUCAAGUUAGUCAGUUAGUAAAACCACCCUUCUCUCACAUGGAUCUUGCAGAAAUUAAACACUUUAACCUCUGACCUAAAUUGCAAGGAGGAGACCAUGUGUGUGUGCUACAUCGGCAAUAUGGCUCUUGCUCUAAAUGUAUUGUCGUGGUUUGAGCCCAGCCGGUAACUCAGAACCACACAGCCGCUCGCUCACUCCCCCCGCCCCCCCUUCUUCCUCCCCCCGCUCCCGGAGGGAUGGGGAGGAGAAUGGGAAGAAUGUAACUCCCACGGGUUGAGAUAAGAGCAGUCCCGCAACUAAGGUAUAACACAAAACCACUACUGCUACCACCAAUGAUAAUAACGAUUAGUGAAAUAACAAGGGGAGAGGAUACAAUUGCUCACCACCCGCCGACCGAUACCCAGCCCGACCCGAGCAGUGAUCUGGGCCUUCCGGGUAACUCCCCCCGGUUUAUAUACUGGGCAUGACGUGCUGUGGUAUGGAAUACCCCUUUGGCUAGUUUGGGUCAGGUGUCCUGUCUCUGCUUCCUUCCGGCUUCCCCUCCUCCCUGGCAAAGCAUGAGACUGAGAAAGUCCUUGGUUGGAAUAAACAUUACUUAGCAACAACUAAAAACAUCGGUGUUAUCAGCGUUGUUCCCAGGCUGAAAGUUAAAAAACACAGCACUGCACCAGCUACUAAGCAGGAGAAAAAUGACUGCUAUAGCUGAACCCAGGACAUGUAUAAACUACCGUUCA
rnacentral:lncRNA from 1 species